rnacentral:rRNA from 1 species
AUUGAACGCUGGCGGCAUGCCUUACACAUGCAAGUCGAACGGCAGCACGGGGGCAACCCUGGUGGCGAGUGGCGAACGGGUGAGUAAUGCAUCGGAACGUACCCGGAAGUGGGGGAUAACGUAGCGAAAGUUACGCUAAUACCGCAUAUUCUGUGAGCAGGAAAGAGGGGGAUCGCAAGACCUCUCGCUUUCGGAGCGGCCGAUGUCGGAUUAGCUAGUUGGUGAGGUAAAGGCUUACCAAGGCGACGAUCCGUAGCUGGUCUUAGAGGAUGAUCAGCCACACUGGGGCUGAGACACGGCCCAGACUCCUACGGGAGGCAGCAGUGGGGAAUUUUGGACAAUGGGCGAAAGCCUGAUCCAGCCAUGCCGCGUGAGUGAAGAAGGCCUUCGGGUUGUAAAGCUCUUUCGGACAGAAAGAAAUCUUCUGGGUUAAUACCUCGGGAGGAUGACGGUACCUGAAGAAUAAGCACCGGCUAACUACGUGCCAGCCGCCGCAGUAACAC